rnacentral:lncRNA from 1 species
AACAACUCCAUCGAAAGAAGGAAGAGAAGAAAGACAAUCAGAAUUAGAAUCGUUCAUUUCCUACGACGUACCAAAAAAGCAACCUCCGAAUUUCUACUAUGACAUUCAAGAUAUGAAUUAUGGUUUAUUAGUUCCUCGCGAUAGAAGAAAUGGCCCAGCAAGAACAGACAUUUUUGUAGGAACUCGAGGCAAACGAGGAGAAAGUAAUUUCGAACAGAAACGUUCAACUCAACCUUCGGCAGGAUUGAUUUUUGUGGCAUCUCGAGGUAGAAGAUCUGAUGUUCUUCCAGAAGAACCAAUAGGUUUCAUUGCAUCACGUGGGAAAAGAAGUAGCCUGUUUCGAAAAUAAUUCAAGAACUAAAAUCUAAAUACGGUAUUGAUAUUGAAUUCCACAAUUGUUAAUUAACAAGAAAAUGAAUCAAUAAAUUUGCAUAAAC